rnacentral:tRNA from 1 species
GGAGAGAUGGUUCAGAGGUUAAGAACAUUGGGUUUUCUUCCAAAGGACCUGGGUUCUAUUCCCAGCACCC